rnacentral:tRNA from 1 species
AGUGUGUUGGCAGAAUAGUGCAAUUGAUUUAGGAUCAGUAUAUGGUAUAUACCACACACUA